rnacentral:rRNA from 1 species
GAUCCUGGCUCAGGAUGAACGCUAGCUACAGGCUUAACACAUGCAAGUCGAGGGGAAACGACAUCGAAAGCUUGCUUUUGAUGGGCGUCGACCGGCGCACGGGUGAGUAACGCGUAUCCAACCUGCCCACCACUUGGGGAUAACCUUGCGAAAGUAAGACUAAUACCCGAUGAUAUCUCUAGAAGGCAUCUGAAAUGAAUUAAAGAUUUAUCGGUGAUGGAUGGGGAUGCGUCUGAUUAGCUUGUUGGCGGGGUAACGGCCCACCAAGGCGACGAUCAGUAGGGGUUCUGAGAGGAAGGUCCCCCACAUUGGAACUGAGACACGGUCCAAACUCCUACGGGAGGCAGCAGUGAGGAAUAUUGGUCAAUGGGCGAGAGCCUGAACCAGCCAAGUAGCGUGCAGGAUGACGGCCCUAUGGGUUGUAAACUGCUUUUAUAAGGGAAUAAAGUGGGUCUCGUGAGACUUUUUGCAUGUACCUUAUGAAUAGGGACCGGCUAAUUCCGUG